AGCGUUGUCCGGAUUUAUUGGGCGUAAAGCGAGCGCAGGCGGAAGAAUAAGUCUGAUGUGAAAGCCCUCGGCUUAACCGAGGAAUUGCAUCGGAAACUGUUUUUCUUGAGUGCAGAAGAGGAGAGUAGAACUCCAUGUGUAGCGGUGGAAUGCGUAGAUAUAUGGAAGAAUACCAGUGGCGAAGGCGGCUCUCUGGUCUGCAACUGACGCUGAGGCUCGAAA
rnacentral:rRNA from 1 species